GGGAACUGUAGUUCCAUGUGCGUGCGAUGCACUCUAUGGGCCCAGCUGUGCUGCUGUGUUAACCUGGAGGCAUUAUGGAACAGGAGGCCCUGAGUACCUGCGGUGGGGUGAGGCCAGAGUGAGCUCCAGCUCAGAUGAUCAGGGAGAAGGCUGCACCAGUCUCAUUGGAUUCUUCACACCAGCUGGUGCUGAAGGUUCAGGGGUUGAAGUUGAAAGAAGCCCGUGGGGUCCUCCAUAAAGGACUCAAGGUGCUGGCCUUCCAACAGCCUGUUCUUUCUACCACACUCCCGAGGAAGCUCCCAUGGACAAAGCCGGAUAAUCCGAAAGGCGUACCUGGAAGACUUUUACACCCGGAUGAUGCAUGAGUGCUAUCAGAUAUGGGCCCAGCUGGAGCACGAGGCUGGAACCCAAUUGCACAGGCAGACUGGAUUACUGCUGCUGGGAAUGAAAGAGAACCAAGAAUUAAAGACAAUCCAGGCCAAUCUGUCGAGGCAGAGGGUAGAACACCAGUGUCUUUCAUCUGAGGAACUGAAGCAACGUUUCCCAAAUAUUCGGUUGCCCAGGGGAGAAGUGGGGCUCUUGGACAAUUCCGGAGGAGUUAUCUAUGCAUAUAAGGCCCUCAGAGCCCUGCAG
rnacentral:sRNA from 1 species